rnacentral:rRNA from 1 species
GAAACAGUGGCUAAGACUGGAUAGGAAGAUAAAAGGCAUCUUUUAUCUUUUAAAAGACCUAGUAAUAGGUAUGCUUUAGGAGGGGCUUGCGCCAUAUUAGUUAGUUGGUAGGGUAAUGGCCUACCAAGACGAUGAUGUGUAGCUGGACUGAGAGGUUGAACAGCCACAUUGGGACUGAGACACGGCCCAAACUCCUACGGGAGGCAGCAGUAGGGAAUUUUCGGCAAUGGAGGAAACUCUGACCGAGCAACGCCGCGUGAAUGACGAAGUACUUCGGUAUGUAAAGUUCUUUUAUCAAGGAAGAAAAGCAAAUGGCGAACCAUUUGUUUGCCGGUACUUGAUGAAUAAGCCCCGGCUAAUUAUGUGCCAGCAGCCGCGGUAAGACAUAAGGGGCAAGUGUUAUCCGGAAUUAUUGGGCGUAAAGGGUGCGUAGGCGGUCUAGUAAGUCAGUGGUGUAAUGGCAACGCUUAACGUUGUCCGGCUAUUGAAACUGCUAAACUUGAGUUAGAUAGAGGCGAGUGGAAUUCCAUGUGUAGCGGUAAAAUGCGUAAAUAUAUGGAGGAACACCAGAGGCGUAGGCGGCUCGCUGGGUCUUAACUGACGCUGAGGCACGAAAGCGUGGGGAGCAAACAGGAUUAGAUACCCUGGUAGUCCACGCCGUAAACGAUGAGUACUAAGUGUCGGGUUAAACCGGUACUGAAGUUAACACAUUAAGUACUCCGCCUGAGUAGUACGUACGCAAGUAUGAAACUUAAAGGAAUUGACGGGACUCCGCACAAGCGGUGGAUCAUGUUGUUUAAUUCGAAGAUACCCGAAAAACCUUACCAGGUCUUGACAUGUUUUUGCAAAAUGAUAGUAAUAUCGUGGAGGUUACCAGAAACACAGGUGGUGCAUGGUUGUCGUCAGCUCGUGUCGUGAGAUGUUAGGUUAAGUCCUAAAACGAGCGAAACCCUUAUCGUUAGUUGCCAGCACGUUAUGGUGGGGACUUUAACGAGACUGCCAAUGAUAAAUUGGAGGAAGGUGAGGAUCACGUCAAAUCAGCAUGCCCCUUAUGACCUGGGCUACAAACGUGAUACAAUGGCUGUUACAAAGGGUAGCUGAAACGCAAGUUCUUGGCCAAUCCCCAAAAACAGUCCCAGUCCGGAUUGAAGUCUGCAACUCGACUUCAUGAAGUUGGAAUCGCUAGUAAUCGCGAAUCAGCAUGUCGCGGUGAAUACGUUCUCGGGGUUUGUACACACCGCCCGUCAAUC